UCCUGGUUAGCUCAAUUGGUAGAGCGACCGCCCCCGGAAUGGCGUUGGUCCCGGGUUCGAUCCCCGGACCAGGAC
rnacentral:tRNA from 1 species